UUCCAAAAAUGGUGUUUUGCAGAAUACGGAUAAAAUACCGGAUAAUGGGGUUAUGUAUGUGAGAAGCAAGUAGUGCAUCCCAAUUAGUGGUUUCCACACCGGAUAUUUUUCCAAAGAGGUCGAAUGCGUUUGUGUUCCACUCUGAGUUUGGAGGGAUUCUUGGGUGGACUUGGUGUCCUACAUGAAAGUGUAGCAUGGCACUCAACUGGUCCUGGGAUAG
rnacentral:lncRNA from 1 species